AGGUGCGAUCAUACCAGCACUAAUGCAUCGGGUCCCAUCAGAACUCCGCAGGUAAGCGUGCUUGGGCGAGAGUAGCACUAGGAUGGGUGACCUCGUGGGAACUCCUUGUGUUGCACCUC
rfam:Lupinus angustifolius cultivar Tanjil contig_40777, whole genome shotgun sequence.